AUGGCUAAACGCACCAAGAAGGUCAAAUCAUCGGUAAAUACGGGACUCGCUAUGGUGCCUCCCUCCGGGAAAAUGUGAAGAAAAUUGGAAUCAGCCAGCACGCCAAGUACACUUGCUCGUUUUGCAGCAAAACCAAGAAUGAAGAGAUGAGCUUGUGGGGAUCUGGCACUGUGGUUCCUGCAUGAAAACCGUAGCUGGUGGUGCCUGGACCUACAACACCACUUCUGCUGUCACAGUAAAGUCCGCCAUCAGAAGACUGAAGGAAUUGAAAGACCAGUAGAAGCUCACCUUUGCAGACAUUACUAGCCUAUAAUAAAUGGGUUAAUUUA